rnacentral:rRNA from 1 species
GAUGAACGCUGGCGGCGUGCCUAAUACAUGCAAGUCGAGCGAACAGACGAGGAGCUUGCUCCUCUGACGUUAGCGGCGGACGGGUGAGUAACACGUGGAUAACCUACCUAUAAGACUGGGAUAACUUCGGGAAACCGGAGCUAAUACCGGAUAAUAUAUUGAACCGCAUGGUUCAAUAGUGAAAGACGGUUUUGCUGUCACUUAUAGAUGGAUCCGCACCGCAUUAGCUAGUUGGUAAGGUAACGGCUUACCAAGGCAACGAUGCGUAGCCGACCUGAGAGGGUGAUCGGCCCCACUGGAACUGAGACACGGUCCCGACUCCUACGGGAGGCAGCAGUAGGGAAUCUUCCGCAAUGGGCGAAAGCCUGACGGAGCAACGCCGCGUGAGUGAUGAAGGUCUUCGGAUCGUAAAACUCUGUUAUUAGGGAAGAACAAAUGUGUAAGUAACUAUGCACGUCUUGACGGUACCUAAUCAGAAAGCCACGGCUAACUACGUG